UAAUUUAAAAUAAAUAAAUCAAUAUAUUAAUUAAAUUAAAAACAACCAUUCAGUGAAAAUACACGUAAAAGCGGAUCAUCACAAUAGUCGUGGCCCAUGGCAUUUUGGUUCAUUGACCUAUUCUCUGUGUUUAGGUAUAUAUGCAAUAAUUUUAGUAUGCUUGCUGCUUUUGCUAAUAAUUGACAGUGAUUGUUCGAGUAGUAAAUUCCUAGAAUCUGAUUCACAUAAAGAAAUACUGGAUGCUUUAAACAAGAGGUAUAAACAAGAGCAAAUUAGCAUGGACAUGUUCACUAGGUCUCUUUUAUUGGCUCGGUUUCUUAAACCAUCUAUCGCCAUGGACAGUAUUAGUUUUACAAGCACCAAGUAAACUUUUUCUCUGAGAUUCUUGACAAAUCCGACUUUUCCCUCCUUUUACCCUUUUUGUUUUUUACAUUUUCGUUUACCUUGUUUUGUUAGAUGUUAGAAGCUGGUUCAGCCGUUGCCCAUCCACCAUCACCACUUCCACACACUCAACCCACCAUUAGAGUUUCUUUCUGUUGAUCCACCUCACUUCCGCUACCAAGCCUCCAUCCCAUCAACGCGUGAAGCCGACUCUUCGUCCCAUCUUGCCGCAAGGCUUCUGUCAUCCUGUAUUCAAGUAGCGGUUCUAUCACCCACCUUCCAUAAGCAUGGCAUCCUUUAUUCUCCUUUGUCAUGGGGUGACUUUUGGUUUAUGUUCUCUUUUCCAAGGAUUCAAUUUCACAUCACACCAACAAUGCAGGUGGGUAGCCUUUCCUCCUCCCUCCCUAGCGAUCAUAUUUCUUUCAAGGGUAGCAGCCUUUCCUCACUCAGUUCAUCUACCUCCUUUACCAAGCGUUUCUUCUUGUUGGCGCUUGGCAACCCCCUUAAUUUCCCCCAUUUCUUCUCAAUUUUCCUUGAUGCCUUCUUCAUUUUCUUGUUUUUUCGAAGAUUUGUACCUACUCAACCAGCUUUCACCAACACGCAUACAAACUCAUCGUCUCCAUAUCCAACUCGUCUACCUCAUCAUUUUGGCCUUAAAACUCACAUAUUUCACAUUCACACGGCAACCAUUCACAUAUUUAACAUUUCCCUGCAAUUUACUGUAUCUUUGUUGUUAUUUAUAGUUGUCUUUUAAUUCUACUUCUCCGUAUUAUUUCUCUUUUGAUAAUAUAAUAUGUAUCUUUAUCGACAGAAAAAAUAAAUAAAAGGAUUCAACUACCUCAAGUUUUAAUUAAAGUUUUAAAAGUCGAACUAAAAAAAAUAUUAAAUAAAUAAAGAAGUUGAAUAGGGGAAAAGUUGUGCACCUACAUUUGAGGGCUCUUGUAUUGAAGCCUUCACCUAUUGGUGAGAAAGUCUGAAUCAGGAUAUGGUAUAAAUCAAGCCUUUUACACCCUCCAAUGGAGAGUUGACUCAUGAGCUCUCCAUCGAGCUUAAAAUAAGCCCAUUCAUACUGAAUUAAAAUUAUAAAUAAUUAAACUUAGAGAGAGAGAGAGAGAGAGAGAGAGAGAAGAAUAGCUUAGUCAGUCCGACACCACCUCCGGCAUCAAAGUAGUGGAUGGCCACCAUGGUUCAGUGCCAGGGUGGCACAGGAUUGGCCAAAACCAACCAAAAUAAAGAGAUAUGGCGCUUGGGUGAUGUCGAACUGGCCAAAUCUAGUCAUCUAGUCAAUUCUAUCGAAUACAACAAAGUGGUGGCAUUGGAUGUGGCAAAUCCGAUAGAAUCUACCAAGUUCGGCAUUGUGGUGGUGUUGGAUCCAACCUUGGUUGCCAUAUUAAUUUCUGGCGAGCUCCGGCUGCAGCUCAUAAAUGGUUGGUGUGGCAGCCACCUCCCGCAAUGCCAAAUUAUUAUUUUUUUUAAUUUAUUAUUCCAACCGUUUAUCAAGGUGGUGGCCUCGGCCUUGAGUGACCAUCAUAAUGAUGUUUAAUGAUUGUCUUAAGAACAAUUAGCAUUAGGGUUUAUAUUUUUGGAUUUAAGAUUUUUCUUUAAGAAGAAAACAAUAAUCUAGUGUAGUUGAACUUACUAUAAAAUCUGUAGGAUGUUGAAGUGGUGCAUCAGGAUUGGAGGGUACCCAAUCCUGCCAGCAACAACCCCCCUUAUUGGGCAAGAAAAGGCAGCAGAGGAAAAUCCAGCAAAAACAACGUAACAUUGCCUCGAGCCCCAACCAACAAGAAGAAUCAUUCGGGAUGUGCACACAUGCAGAAAAACAGAUGCAGAAAAUGUGGACCUACAAAAACACAUGCACAUGCAGUGCAGAAAGCAUUCGGACCACAUGACAGCAAAUAUGCAGACCAUUCAUCACAUGGACAGCACAUGCAGAACAGAAAAAUCACAUGGACAGCAACCAAUCAUUCGGAAAGCAGCUCACACAUGCACAUGCAGGAUAGCAACUCACACUUGCAGCAGCACAUGUACAGCAGCAGAAAAAUCUUUCAACAAAGCAGACAAUCACGCUGAAGGAAAAGCAAUUGGACAGCAUCAGCAGAAGAUCAUUCGGACCACAACAUCACACAUGCAGAAAAUUCUACCAUGCAGCAGACUAAAACAUACAAACAUGCAGAAAAAUACAAACAUACAGACCAAACUCACAUGAACCGAAAGCAGCAGCAGAAGUUUUUGACCCUUUACUUUUCAAACUUGUUUUUAUAUGGCAGGGAGACUUUUGUUCAUGGAGGAGGAGUAGUUUUCGGUUUGGCAGCAGCAAGACUUGGGCAGCUGUUUUUCUUGACUUUUACUUUGAUUCAUUUCUUUUUCUUGCUUUCAGUUUGGCAGCAAGAGCGGGAGAGUUUCAGUUUUUCUUCUUUCUUUUCUUCUGGUUAAAGGAAAGAGUUGUUGUUGGGAGGGGGACUUUGGAUCUUUGCAUUUUCCGUGGGAGAUAGAACUCUCUCUCUCGGUUUCAUUGUUUUUGUUUUUUUUAGUUUUAUUACUGGGUUGUUUCGUUAGGCAGUAGGAGUAGCUCUUAUUUUUAUUUUACUGCAGUUCAGUUCAGCAUUGAAUUUAUUUACUUUUUCGUUUUCAUC